rnacentral:rRNA from 1 species
AACGAACGCUGGCGGCAUGCCUAACACAUGCAAGUCGAACGAGAUCUUCGGGUCUAGUGGCGCACGGGUGCGUAACGCGUGGGAAUCUGCCCUUUGGUUCGGAAUAACAGUUGGAAACGACUGCUAAUACCGGAUGAUGACGAAAGUCCAAAGAUUUAUCGCAAGAGGAUGAGCCCGCGUAGGAUUAGCUAGUUGGUGUGGUAAAGGCGCACCAAGGCGACGAUCCUUAGCUGGUCUGAGAGGAUGAUCAGCCACACUGGGACUGAGACACGGCCCAGACUCCUACGGGAGGCAGCAGUGGGGAAUAUUGGACAAUGGGCGACAGCCUGAUCCAGCAAUGCCGCGUGAGUGAUGAAGGCCUUAGGGUUGUAAAGCUCUUUUACCCGGGAUGAUAAUGACAGUACCGGGAGAAUAAGCUCCGGCUAACUCCGUGCCAGCAGCCGCCGUAA